CAAACUAAAGCUUUUAAAUUAAGUAUUUCAUUUACAUUGAAAAGAUAUUGUUAAUUCAAUUAGUUUGA
rnacentral:tRNA from 1 species